CAUAGCCGCGGGAAUACGUAGGGUGCGAGCGUUAAUCGGAAUUACUGGGCGUAAAGGGUGCGUAGGCGGUGAGUUAAGUCUGUUGUGAAAUCCCCGGGCUCAACCUGGGAAUGGCAAUGGAUACUGGCUCGCUAGAGUGUGAUAGAGGAUGGUGGAAUUCCCGGUGUAGCGGUGAAAUGCGUAGAGAUCGGGAGGAACAUCAGUGGCGAAGGCGGCCAUCUGGAUCAACACUGACGCUGAAGCACGAAAGCGUGGGGAGCAAACAGGAUUAGAUACCCGGGUAGUCCCUGUCUCUUAUACA
rnacentral:rRNA from 1 species